GGAAUCUUGCACAAUGGAGGAAACUCUGAUGCAGCGAUGCCGCGUGAGUGAAGAAGGCCUUUGGGUUGUAAAGCUCUUUUGUAGGGGAAGAUAAUGACUGUACCCUAAGAAUAAGGUCCGGCUAACUUCGUGCCAGCAGCCGCGGUAAUACGAAGGGACCUAGCGUAGUUCGGAAUUACUGGGCGUAAAGCGCGCGUAGGCCGUUGAGUUAGUUAAUUGUGAAAUCCCAAAGCUUAACUUUGGAACUGCAAUUAAAACUGCUCGACUAGAGUUUGAUAGAGGAAAGCGGAAUACAUAGUGUAGAGGUGAAAUUCGUAGAUAUUAUGUAGAACACCAGUUGCGAAGGCGGCCUUCUGGAUCAACACUGACGCUGAGGCGCGAAAGUAUGGGUAGCAAAGAGGAUUAGAUACCCUCGUAGUCCAUACCAUAAACGAUGAUUGCUAGAUGUUGGAAAUUUAUUUUCAGUAUCGCAGCUAACGCAUUAAGCAAUCCGCCUGGGGAGUACGACCGCAAGGUUAAAACUCAAAUGAAUUGACGG
rnacentral:rRNA from 1 species